GCGUCCUAUAUCAUGAAAGCCUAUACCAGUAUCCUUUAAGGUAGUUCCUGAAGCUAAAAAUAACACCAUCCACAAACGAAGCAUUUAUAAGAUGAGCAGAAUUUUGGAACUGAAAAAAAAACAAAGUCUUUUAUAAAUAUUAACACUUUGUGCUUAUGGGGAAUGUCCUUUAAUCAAUCUUUUAUUUUUUAGGAUUGAAGUUCGAACUCAAAUAUGUUGCCCCGUACAGUCACUGCUGUAAUGGAAAUGCAGGAUUUGCUGAUGAUACAGCCAUCGGGUGAACCAAAACAAGUCUUCCUCGCCCCACAAUCAUUAUAAAUCACAUCCAUACGGGAACUGAUGACUACAUUGGAAGAUAUAAAUUCCGAAGGCGUGUAAGGAGCUUGAGUAGUGAAGUAUUUCAUAGUAGAACUGGGUAAUCGUGUGGUGGGUAGUUGAGCAGUCUCUACAAACAGAUCCCGUUUGACUACAUGGAUUGGAUUGGAAACCACGCCAGUCCAAAAUUUAUUAUAUGCUUCAGCCACAGUGGCGCUUUAAGAAAAUAAAGAUUAAAAACUACGCACUUAA